GACCCGGAAGCAAAACACAGACCGGAAGAGGAGACGAGGAACAGUUUUAUUUGGCGUGGUGUGUAAACACUUUUGUUUGACGUGUUGUUUAUUUGUAUACCUUAUUUUUGCGUGCUUUUACAUACGAUCUGAAACAGUGACGUUACGUUAGCGUCAAGUCAUUCCUUUUUGAUGGAUUACGAGGGCAGAUGUCCAAAAACAAGGAGUCACGUCGUCGGCUAAAAGGACUGGAGAGGUUUUGGAUGAGCACACGGCCGCCAGAAGCGGAGUAUGGGCCGCGUCAGGACAAAUGUGAGCGCACACCUGACAAGCACACAAGGUAAAAUACAUUUCUUACUCGUCGGCCAACGGGAAGAUCAGACCAGCGUGGAGACUUAAAGACAAAAAAUUGGCUCUUGGAUAGCAGUCGAUGCCUGGCUCAGGUCACAAAGUCCUAAAAAAAACAAAGACCAUGGCUGAAUCAAGGCAACCUUUCUGGAGGUGGUAACUGAAAAUCUGCACACACAUCUGAAUGUGGGCGUCCACCUGAAAAGAGUAAACAUUCAGUGCAAGCAAAAAUAGUUUUGUCAGAUUUUUAUUGUCAUUUUUAUAUCCCUGGGCUUGAAAAGGACAUCGACGACCACAUCGCGGCCUGUUCCACUCCGGCCAGGACAACAGUUCUGAAAGGAGAAAGAGGGAACGGAGGAGGAUUUGGCGCGCCGCUCCAUGACGGCAAGCAUCCCUACACACAAAAUAAGCAGCGUGCUCAAACCUAGUGGACAAGGCCUCCAACGUCGAUCUUGAUGAAAUCAUACAAGGCUGCUCUCCUUACUGCACACAAGGGUAGAGAGAAAAAAAACGCUUUUAGAAAUGGCCACUGCAAAUCAUUCCAGGCGUCCUUACCUUGGACAUUGUAGCUCCUCGACACGUGCUGAAACAAAUUAAAAGACAAUAAGAUUUGCACGCGUUGGUGUGUUUGCUUGUCUCACCUGUGAUCAGAGGCGGACAUCUUGACAGUGGCCUGCAACAGAAAAGGUAAAACAAUCGGUAAGCUUAUUCGAUCGAUUAGAAUCAAUUUGCCCAUUCUCUUUAAGAUGAGAAUCUGCGGACAAAAUUAGACCUUGAAUCGUUUUAAUGGUAAUCGCGAGUUUUUCCCCGCAGUUUACCUCCUGUCAAACGGCGCUCUUGUUCACUUGUCGAAAAUGUCAGCGUCACUCCUGUUAUGAGAAAGUGCACGCAAUUCACGCAGAUUCGAUGUAUUUCAGUUUGUACCUUAGUUAAACGCCUGCAUUUGUUUGUAGUCGUCGAAUGAAUGUCUUUUUAGCACGCGCUCCCUCGACGUCGACGGCCGCCGUCCUGCAAAGAAACAUUUUUAAGAACACGCAGGCGAGCUAUUAGCACGCUCAAAACGUGAAUUAGUAUCAAAUAGAAGUAGCAAACGGGAGGUUAAAGAAUGAUUUUGAUGACUUACUUCGCGUUAAGUGCGGAGCGCAGCAGUCGGGUGGCGACGGGAGCUGGCAGCAGGUUUGAAAAGAAUGAUGGCUCAUUUCGUGCAGUUUAAAUAGGUUUCCGGUCAUGACGUCAUCGUAAAAAAAAAAAAAAAAAAAUAGAAAGGUACGUGAAAGUAUAAAGGGACAAUAUCGCUGUGCUCGAACCCGACUUUCUCAGAUGUUGGGCUUUGUCAUUAACCACUUGACUAUUGUUUUGAAUAUAUGAUUGAGUCCUUCUGAUUUAUUACUUUAACUUCACAGUACAACACAUCACCAUGUGACUUACAAAGAAUAAGUAUGACUUCCGAUCAGAGUUUACCCUCUUAAAGAUGGUCCAAUGGUUCAAGACAUCGACUACGGCCUCUCGGUACCCGGGUUCGAGUUUUGACAAUUUUUGAAAAUGAUGCGUUUUCUGUUUCUGCAGGCAUCUUGACCAAUGCAAGCCUAUAUAGGAAUCGAACCCGUGUUGCCUCAGUGGUAGUUAAUGUUUUUAACCAUUAGGCCAUCCGAAAUGAGGUUUCACGGCUGAAUUUUUUCAUAUUUAUAGAAUGACUACCCCACAGGGUAAACCGGUGUUAAAUUCAUGACCACCUUUUGCCCCAACUCCUUCCACGUCACACCCAACCAGUGCAUACAACCGAGUCUCUCUCCUUUCUUAUGAAACUCCACUUAAGUGAAGGACCUCAUCCUUGACCUGGAUAGGGCAUGACACCUUAUUCUCAUUGAGGACCAUGCUCUCAUAUUUGGAGGUGCUCAUUCUCAGCCCAAGUGCUUCAUAACUGUAUGCAUCCAUAUGGAGUGUCUCAAUAAAUUGCUUCUUUUCUAUUAGUAUGUGUGUUGUGUUUCUGCUGCAGAAUCUUCACUCGCUGGCGGUUUAUUCAAUUCAAUUUUAUUUGUAUAGCCCUAAAUCACAACAAGAUUGUCCUUAAGGGCUUUGCAGAGGCAAUAUGAUACACAAUCAGAAACAGCAAAUGAAGCAACAAAGAUGAAUAAAUAAAGUUCAAGUCCUGGGCAUCCCCUAUCCUUAUACCCUCCAUGUCAGCAAGGAAAAACUCCAGAGUCUUUGGGAGAAAAUGAGAAACCUUGGGGAGUACCAAAGUCAGGAGCAAUGAGCCGAGACACGCCAUUGUAUUUGAUCCUCACGUCGCCAGGCAUAUUAACAUUUUUCUUCCACUUUUGGGCUGUCGGAAACCCUUUUGUCGACGGUCCGGAAUAAGCCGUGCUGAGCUGAUGUCGUAAUGAUGCGAUUUGUUUGGAUCGCGAACGCCGUCGUCUCAGUGGUUGACGAAGAAAAAUAAUCGAUUAGCCGCGGGAAGUCGGGACGUUGCCCUUUUGUGGGUCAUCACGGGAGAGCAUGAUGAGCGACCGUUAAUCGGCUGCCGCACAUAUUUACAGUACAGUGCUAACAGUAUACUUUUAUAUUUUUCCAUCUUUCAAUUUCACUGCCAUUGAUGACGGCAGACGUCCGGGCCCGCCGUCAAUGGCACUGAAACAUUACAAGUUUUCCAUCAAAAAGGUUGCUUCAAAGAACGAACAUUUAGCAAUGCCUCAACAGUGGAAACAAAAGAACAACCUGUAGGCAUUGGACGUCUAUCGCCGUCAGUGGCGCUGAAACAUCACAGUUUGGAUUUCCGACAAAAGGAGUCACCUCAAGGACCGAACGUUUCACAAUGCGAGAUCUGAAAGCAUCGGACGUCUCUUCUCGCUGUCAAUGGCAAAGAAACGUCACGAUUUGAAGUUCUGUCUCAAGAGCUUCAAAGACCAAACAUUUGGCAAUGCCUCAAAAGCAAAACCAAAAAAAACAAUCUGAAGGCAUUGGAUGUCUGUUGUUGCCAAUGGCAGAGAACGUGUGAAAAUAAUGUUUUUGGUGUCAGGUUGUGAAAGAAUUAAAUUGUUUUGCCCAGUAUUAUUGGGAUAAAGACGAUUGGCAGUGAUGAAAUCUCAUCACGCAGCAUGGCAAUUUGCUAGGCAGUUAGCCAUGUGAUGUUAACAACCAAGGCUUUUCUAAACAAACCCGUGGAUUUGCUUUCUCUCUCUCCAUAACCCUCAGUUCACCAAGCUGGAGUCAGCUGUCGUUCCUUCCAGUUGCUCUGAUGUGAACACCAGUCAAAUUGGUGCUUUCGCUGCAAACCAAGUUGAACGAGACUGUCGGCAAUUUGUGUCUAACAAAGAGGCCUUAUUUCCUCUUAAUCCGUUUCUUGACCUUGAGAAUCAGUAGAACAGUCAAAAUUUGCAAAAAAGAAAAAGUAUGUUGUCAAACCUCCGCAGAGUCAGCCAUCUUGGAUGCAUCCCACAAUGCACUGCAGGUAUAAAUAGACAAUUUGAGGCUGGAACUUUGAUUCCAAUGAGCUAUGAUGGGAGUAAUUUGAGAACUCAUACGUGUAGUUGUCCAAUCAAUUGGCUCCUGUAAUCAUUCUGCUUUAUCACUAAUAGACAAAUUUUUAACCAACAAAAAAAUAUGCUAAAAAAACUUAAUUGGGCUUGUCUUCCUUUUGUUUUUUCCAAUUUGUAUUUUCCACAAUUUAUAGAACACCCUCGGCCGUUAUAGUAGCGUAAUAUUACAUGGUUCGAUAGCGAGUGUGACAUGUAAUAACCCAUAAUGGCCACAGGAGGGCAGUAAAGAUGGCGCUAGUACCCCAAAUGCUUUCCAAUCGUGGGGGUAGAUUAGUUAUCUUCUAACAACGCAAAAUACUUUAAGUGGUGUUGUCGGAGUUCUUAACGAAAUAAAACGUGUCUAGUUUUUUAAAUUUAUGUAUUAAAAUGUCUUGUUAUAUUCAGAAUAAAUGUAGUUGGCAUAGUUGGUAUGUUUCCAUUCGUAAAUGCAAUGAUUAACUUUCAUUUUACAUUUUAAAAUAUUACAAGGCGAGUGUGGCAUGCGUUUACCAAUGUUGACCACAGGAGGACAGU